AAUGUCUACUCAUAAAGUCGACAAUGGAUGCCUAGGCAGCAAGUGACCGAAGAAGGACGCUUCUCUACAGGCGAUAUCAUCGGUGAGGCUGUAAAGAGCCUUUGACCCGGUGGUUUCCGAAUGGAGCAAUCCUCCCGACGCGAGUCGGGAAGCUUAUCGUAAAACUAUUCACGUAAGUGAGUAAUAUAGCGAUAGGUGGGGUACCAUCUGAACUGAAACAUCUAAGUAAGAUGAGGAAAAGAAAUCAAUUGAGAUUCCGUCAGUAGCGGCGAGCGAAAGCGGAAAAGUCUAAACCCCGAUUUAUCGGGGUGUUGCAGGGCUUCUGAUAUGGGAUGAGAGGCGGGUAACAGAACUUCUUGGAAUAGCAGACCAUAGAGAGUGAAAGUCUCGUAAGUGAAACCUAAAUCUCCCCUAAGAAGUUCCUAAGUAUCACGAGGCACGGCACAACCUUGUGAGAAUCCGGGACGGCCACGUUCCAAGACUAAACAUCACAGCUGACCGAUAGUGAAUUAGUACCGUGAGGGAAAGGUGAAAAGCACCCCUGUGAGGGGAAUGAAAUAGUACCUGAAAUUGUCGACUAACAAACAGCUAGAGUCCUGAGAGCAAUCGAAGGAUAAUAGCGUGCCUAUUGAAGAAUGAACCGACGAGUAUUCUGUAUUGCGCUUUAAGUCUAACCCACUCUGUGGGGAAGGCAUAGUGAAAGCAAGCCCUAACCGGGCGAAUCGGCGCAGUCAGGAUGACCCGAAACCGGGUGAGCUAAGCAUGAACAGGGUGAAUCCCGAUGAAAAUCGGGAGGAGGCCCGAACCCGUCGUUAUUGCAAAAACGUGGGAGGAUUUGUGCUUAGGGGUAAUAUGCCAAUCGAACCCGGAGAUAGCUGGUUCUCUCCGAAAUAUAUUUAGGUAUAGCGCCUGUCACAUAUUCUUGGGGGUAGAGCACUGAAUUGGUUACCAAGCGUAAGCGAGGUUACUCAAUCAAACUCCGAAUACCAAGAAAGAAGGACAGGUAGUCAGUCCGGCUCGGCUAAGCGAGUCUGGUCAAGUGGGGGAACAACCCAAACUUUCAAUUAAGGCCCCUAAAUAUUGGCUAAGUUGUAAAGGAUGUGAGAUUUCUCAGACACCCAGGAAGUUGGCUUAGAAGCAGCCAUCUUUUAAAGAAAGCGUAACAGCUCACUGGACGAGAGAUUUCGCGCCGAAAAUGAACGGGUAUAAGCCAAUUGCCGAAAUUAAAGACUUUCCCGACUAAGUCGGGGGAGUGGUAGGAGAGCGUUCUUAUUGCAGUGAAGCAUCUAGCGUAAGCUGGUGUGGAGCGGUAAGAAGUGAGAAUGUCGGUAUGAGUAGCGAAAUGAAAGUGAAAAUCUUUCACACCGAAUGUCCAAGGUUUCCGUUCCAACGUUCAUCGGGGACGGGUUAAUCGGAUCUAAGGCAAGUCUCAUCCAUUUGGGUGAGGGUAGCUCGAUGUGUAAGCCGUCAAAAUUCGGCUAUAGCAGUAAGAAGUACAAGGGGGUGACGAAAGUGGAAUUGGCAGCCCAUGACGGGUUUAAGUCAUAAGAUAGUGAUAACGGGGAAAUCCGUUAUUGCGUUUAAUUAAAUGACGACGAAGAGUUCUUUUCAAAAGAAAGGACAAUUGCAGAAAUUUCAGUUUCCCGGAAAAGCCUCAUUGUUCCAUCGAAAGGUGGAGAGUCUUAUUGUUUCCGUACCGCAAACCGACACAGGUGGACUGGUAGAGAAUACUAAGGUGAUCAGGAGAAAACGAUUCAAGGAACUCGGCAAAACAACUGGGCGUAACCUAUGGGAGAUGCCCUUCCCUAUACCUUUUAUGGUAUAGGGACGCAGUUAAAGACGCUAACCAACUGUUUAACUAAAACACAGGUCUCUGCAAAGCCGAAAGGCAACGUAUAGGGGCUGACGCCUGCCCAGUGCACGAAGGUCAAGAGUGGAGACUGAGAUUAUAUCAAGGUUUUUUCUCAAGCCCGUGUGAACGGCAGCAGUAACUAUAACUGUUCUAUGGUAGGUCCGAAGUGGACCCGCUGCCAUAGUGAGGUAUGUCUCGAUUUAAUCGGGAAGAACCCUCCGUCAUGUGUGUGCCGAACACACUAAAACGCAAACUUGACUAUAUGCUGGAAACUCUCGUAUUCUGAAUCUACUAUGGGUAAAACUACACAUAGUGAAAAUGAUAUCAGUAGAGACAAUCAGCAGGAAAGGCUAAUGAAAAGGAAAAUUCUAAUCAUUUUAAUAAUAAUAGCAGUAUUGAUAGUGAUUAUUGGAGUAUAUCUAUAUAUAAAAGACUCAAUUGAGUUUCAGAAAUGUUGUAUAGAUGUUUUUCCAUAGUGAAAAUAAAUUCCUUUUUUUAGAAUCCUCAGAGACUAUACGUCAGGAUCCAUUACAAACGAAUGGAUAAGAUAUAGUCCAACCUUCAAUUCGAAUUUUGAAGCAUAGAGCGAAAUUCCUUGUCGGGUAAGCGGAAGGAGCAAGCCCGACGUUAAAAACCAACUAUAUCGGUGGAGCCCAUUGAAUGAAUGGGUAAUACCGAGGGAAGUUUCCAGAUUAAAUCUGGAUAACCCUGUAGAGACUACACGUUGGUACCGAUUAAAUCGGUAAAGAUAUAGUCCACGCAACUAGUAAUAGUUGAUAUUCGUGAAGUUCCGACCCGCACGAACGGCAGAAUGAGUUAGCGACUGUCUUGAAUCGUUACCUGGCGAAAUUGAAAUGGCUGUGAAGAUGCGGCCUACUUGCACAUGGACAAAAAGACCCCAUGGAGCUUUACUGUAGCUUGGCAUUGGGAAGCUGAUUUUGACUGUCGAGCGUAGGAGGGAGACCCGCCGCAAGGCGGGACAUCAAUGGAACACCUCUCUUUAAGAUUAGCAACUCUAAUUCCUUUGCCCCAUAAAAAUCGGGCAGGGAGACAGUGUCUGGCGGGCAGUUUAACUGGGGAGGUUGACUCCAAAAUCGUAACGGAGUCGUACAAAGGUCGGCUUAGUAGGGAUGGAAAUCCUACGUGACGUGCAAACGCGACAAGCCGGCUUAACUGCGAGACGUACAUGUCGAGCAGAUGCGAAAGCAGGUGUUAGUGAUCCUCGGAUCCGCAGUGGUUGCGGACCGGGCUUAACGGAUAAAAGCUACCCUGGGGAUAACAGGCUGAUCGCGUCCGAGAGUCCAUAUCGACGACGCGGUUUGGCACCUUAAAUAAAACAUCGGGGUGCUAUCUAAGUAAUUGGAUACCUAAAAAAAUUCAGCUAAUAUCGGUGGAGUCCUCAAUUGAUAAUGGCUAUUCUUUGGUUCAUAAUGAACUUAAGGAUAGUAUCAAUGGAUAAUACCGAGGGAAGUUUGACAGAAGUUCAAAAAGAAAUACUUAUAGGAGUUUUACUAGGUGAUGGAACCAUGAGGAAAAAGACGCAUGCUCUGCUUGAGAUUAAUCAUAGUUUCAAACAGAAAGCAUUAGUCGACUGGCUUUAUGAUAAAUUUCAUCGCAUAGUACUUACUCCUCCAAAACAGCGGAAAGGAAAUGGAAAAAGAAUUGCUUAUCGGUUUACUACUAGAAGUUUACCAGUGCUGACGGAAUUUUAUAAUCGCUUUUUCCAUAAAAAUAAAAAAGUCAUACCAAAUGAUUUAAAACUUACUCCGCUAACUUUGGCUAUAUGGUAUAUGGAUGAUGGUUCUCGCUGUGAUGAAGACAUUUAUUUAAAUACACAGCAAUUUACACAAACAGAACAACUAUUUCUUUCAGAAAUAUUGAAUGCGAAAUUUGGGUUUCGUUCUUCAUUAAAUAAAGAUAAGAAAUAUUUUCGUAUUCGCAUUUUUAAAGAAAGUGUUCCAAGAUUUAUGAAUACCAUUUAUCCAUAUAUUAUUGAUGAUAUGAAAUAUAAGCUUUUGUUAUAACCCCGUAUCGACUGAUUCCGCUGAAGAGGCGGAUGAGAUAGGUUUCUUAAAAUAUACCUAUCACACGCUGACCCCUGACGAAUGUUAGGGUGAAGAUAUAGUCAAAUCCUAGAAGAAAUUUUAGGGGCAAUCAAAUGAUUGCGAUGUCGGCUCAUCCUAUCCUGGAGGUGGAGAAGCUUCCAAGGGUCCGGCUGUUCGCCGGUUAAAAGGGUACGCGAGCUGGGUUCAGAACGUCGUGAGACAGUAGACCAAAUAAUAAUGACAUUAUUAUUUAAAGAGCUGUCUUUCCUUCAACGUUUUUGGACAUAUAUAAGAGGAAAAGAAGGACUCUCCCGAUAGGUAAUCGGGAGCGAUAAAUUUGACUAAAUGCUGGAAACUCCGAGUAUCUUGUGCUACGUUUAAUUUAAUGAACGUAAAAAUGCAUCAAGUGCGGACAAUCAGCAGGAAACUAUUACUGGUGAUAGCAAUAGAGCUAAUAAUAAUAGGAAUUACUUAUUUUUGUUUUUCAUUAAUAAGUGAUUGUAAAUAUCAAAUGUACCCAGAUUGUAAAUUUCCUUGUAAAAAUAGGGUAAGUUUACAGGGUCUAGAAGUAAUUUCUAGUUGUACUCGAUUCUAUCAUUUCUAUUAUUGAUUAGGUAAUAAUCCUCAGAGACUAUACGUCAGAGUCCGAUGUAACAUCGGACAAGAUAUAGUCCGAACUGCAUGGCGACAUGCAGACUGCAGCAGAAAUGUUUGCAGCCGUAAUAAUUACGUGUAACACAAUUGUCGGUCUCUAUCCUGUGCAAGCGUUGGAUUUUUGAGGAGAACUCUUGCUAGUACGAGAGGACUGCGGGGGAGGAAUCCCUGGUGUGCCGGUUGUGAGCAAUGUAUUUUGCCCGCAUGACGCCGGAUAGCUAUAUUCCUACGGGAUAAGCGCUGAAAGCAUCUGAAGCGCCAAGCCCACUCCAAGAUAAGAAAUCCUUUUAAACCCCUAGUAGAAUACUAGGUUGAUAGGUAGAGAGUGUAAGGUCCGUGAGGACUUAAGCUCAUCUAUACUAAUUGGUUGAGAGUAAAUGUUAA
rfam:Candidatus Gottesmanbacteria bacterium RIFCSPHIGHO2_02_FTLL_39_11 rifcsphigho2_02_scaffold_727, whole genome shotgun sequence.